UCGAUCCAUGGUUCCAAGGGGACGUGGAACCGUUGCCACAAACAUCAGCGGUUGCAAUUUUCGCUGCAACUUGCAGCGAAAAUUGCGUGUAGUCUGGCAACGCAAACAAGAUGGCUGCGCCCAACGUUUCUGUCGUUUCCGCGGAAGUUUUCUCCGGUACUCAUUCGUUGAAACGAAUUGAAGUACCUAUUGAAUGUAGUGGAGAUGCAAAGAAACACUUAAGUUCUUUGGUAUCAUCUGUAACGACUGCGCAGACCACCAUAAACCAGUUCCUUACUGAACUUGUGGAAUCGGAUAAGACUACAGAAAAGAGUGCUGGCGAUAAGGAGGAAGCGAUAGGAGACGAAGACGACGACGAUGACGACGACGAAGACGGCGAAGUACCAAAAAAGAAGCAGAAGUGCUCCUGACAUGGCCAUCAAGUUCUUCAAUGUCAUCGUGCUUUUGUAAAUAAAUGUCAUCCAUUUGAGUACA